rnacentral:piRNA from 1 species
CAUCUUCACUUUCCACCAGCGGAGA